AAAAUCCUAACAAAAUUUAUGUUAUCUUAUCCUUACAAACUUCCUUUGACAUUUACUUCCCUCCACUAUGAACUUUCCCUAAACAUGUUCCAAAGACACUACGACAGAUGCCUCAGUCAGUAGCCACAGAAUCGAGAUGUUGUCUCACAAGGAUGGAUAUUGAUAGCUUGGCUCAUUGUAGAAAGAGUUUUCACGUUCCAUAUGCAGUUCAGAUUGGGCUUGUCAUCGGCUCAAAAGGGCUGGGAGGGCUCCAUAGCUGUCAUCAUGGCCAAAUACAUAAGAUCUAUGAACUGAUCUAUAAGAAGACACCACUGAACUAGCAAGAGUAACAUUCCUCCUAGCUUUGAAGGUUACCUCUUUCAAGCUUCUGGUCAUGCCUCUCCUUGUACGUUAAUUUAUUGUACCAUGAUAUCAUGUUCUUGAUCCCCUGGUAAGGUGUUUUACUUGUUGAUUAAUAUUCUGGAACUGAAAGUAGCUCUUGUUCUCAUGAAGCUUGAUCCCCUGGUAAGGUGUUUGACUUGUUGAUUAAUAUUCGGGAACUGAAAGUAGCUCUCGUUCUCGUGGAGCUUGAUUCUCUGGUAAGGUAUUUGACUUGUUGAUUAAUAUCCUAGAACUCAAAGUAGCUCUCGUUCUCGUGGAGCUUGAUUCCCUUGUAAGGUGUUUGUCUUGUUGAUUAAUAUCCUGGAAAAAGUAGCUCUCAUCCUCGUGGAGCUUGAUCCCCUGGUAAGGUGUUUGACUUGUUGAUUAAUAUCUUGGAAUUGAAAAUAGCUCUUGUCCUCGUGGAUCUUGAUCCCCUGGUAAGGUGUUUGACUUGUUGAUUAAUACCCUGGAACUCAAAGUAGCUCUCAUCCUCGUGGAGCUUGAUCCCUUGAUAAGGUGUUUGACUGUUCAUUAAUAUCCUGGUACUGAAAGUAGCUCUCGUCCUAGUAAGGUGUCUAGUCGAUGGAGCUUCCUUUGUAUGAGAACGUGAAGCGUCCCGCCGUCCACCACCAUCAACCAUUCUUCCAGCGCUAUGCCUUCCUCCUGAGAAGUGGCCAUGGUUUCUAUCUUGGCUUGGUGAAAUUUCAUACCUUUAGAGGCUGAGGUGUCCAUGGUAAGCACACCGCACUCUAGUAAGGGGUUGUGAGGGCUCCAUAGCUGUCAUCACGGCCAGAUACAUAAGAUCUAUGAACUGAUCUAUAAGAAGACACCAUUGAACCAGCAAGAAUAACAUUCCUCCUAGCUUUGAAGGUUACCUCUUUCAAGCUUCUGGUCAUGCCUCUCCUUGUAUGUUAAUUUAUUGUACCAUAACAUCAUGUUCUUGAUCCCCUG
rnacentral:lncRNA from 1 species